GAUCCUGGCUCAGGAUGAACGCUAGCUACAGGCUUAACACAUGCAAGUCGAGGGGCAGCAUGGUCUUAGCUUGCUAAGGCCGAUGGCGACCGGCGCACGGGUGAGUAACGCGUAUCCAACCUGCCUUACACUCUUGGACAGCCUUCUGAAAGGGAGAUUAAUACAAGAUGUUAUCAUGGGUAAGCAUUUUCGCAUGAUAAAGUUUACCGGUGUAGAUGGGAGUGCGUUCC
rnacentral:rRNA from 1 species